AGCAGCCGCGGUAAUUCCAGCUCCAAUAGCGUAUAUUAAAGUUGUUGCAGUUAAAAAGCUCGUAGUUGAAUUUCGGGGUUAGUAGGUUGGUCGUGCCACUGGUACGUACUGGUCUCACUGAUUCCUCCUUCCUGAUGAACUGUAAUGCCAUUAAUUUGGUGUUGCAGGGAAACUGGACUGUUACUUUGAAAAAAAUUAGAGUGUUUAAAGCAAGCUAACGCUUGAAUACAUUAGCAUGGAAUAAUGAAAUAGGACGUUCGAUCCUAUUUUGUUGGUUUCUAGGAUUGACGUAAUGAUUAAUAGGGAUAGUUGGGGGCAUUAGUAUUCAAUUGUCAGAGGUGAAAAUUCUUGGAUUUAUUGAAGACUAACUACUGCGAAAAGCAUUUGCCAAAGGAUGUUUUCAUUAAAUCAAGAAACGAAAAGUUAGGGGAUCGAAGACGAUCAGAUACCGUCGUAGUCUUAACCAUAAAACUAUGCCGACUAGGGAUCGGAUGAUGUUAAAUUUUUUUAAAUGACUCAU
rnacentral:rRNA from 1 species